rnacentral:rRNA from 1 species
UGGGGAAUAUUGCACAAUGGAGGGAACUCUGAUGCAGCGACGCCGCGUGAACGAAGAAGGCUUUCGAGUCGUAAAGUUCUUUUAUAUGGGAAGAUAAUGACGGUACCAUAAGAAAAAGCCCCGGCUAACUACGUGCCAGCAGCCGCGGUAAUACGUCGGGGGCUAGCGUUGUCCGGAAUCACUGGGCGUAAAGGGUUCGCAGGCGGAAAUGCAAGUCAGGUGUAAAAGGCAGUAGCUUAACUACUGUAAGCAUUUGAAACUGCAUAUCUUGAGAAGAGUAGAGGUAAGAGGAAUUUUUAGUGUAGCGGGGAAAUGCGUAGAUAUUAAAAAGAAUACCGGUGGCGAAGGCGACUUACUGGGCUCAUUCUGACGCUGAGGAACGAAAGCGUGGGUAGCAAACAGG